CUACAACAUGAGGGCACUGGGACUGAUUCUUAUAACUCUGCUGCUGCUGACAGCGGGUGAAGUUUGAACUUUUCCUGAAAGCUGAUGACACAGAUGUACAGGGCUGGACUUGCGGAUACCGAGGGCUGUGCAGGAAGCACUGCUACGCGCAGGAGUACAUGAUUGGCUACCAUGGUUGCCCUCGAAGAUACAGGUGCUGUGCUUUGC